rnacentral:lncRNA from 1 species
GUUUUAGGGCAAAUUUGGGGCAGAUUUGGGGUUUUGGUGUCAGAUUUGGGGCUUUUUGGGUCAGAUUUGGGGUUUUUUGGGUCCAACUUGGGUCAGAUUUGGGGUUUUUGGGGUGAAAAUUGAUGUUUUUGGCAGCGGAUUUGGGGCAGAUUUAGGGGUUUUUGGGUCCAAUUUGGGGCAGAUUUAGGGCUUUUUUGGGGUUUUGGGGUGAAAAUUGAUGUUUUUGGCAGCGGGUUUGGGGCGGAUUUAGGGGUUUUAGGGCAAAUUUGGGGCUUUUUAGGGGCCAAUUUGGGGCUUUUUUGGGGCUUUUUGGGUCAGAUUUGGGGUUUUUGGCGUGAAAAUUGAUGUAUUUGACGGCGGAUUUGGGGCAGAUUUAGGGGUUUUGGGGCCAAUUUGGGGCAGAUUUGGGGGUUUUAGGGACAGAUUUGGGGUUAUUGGGGUCUUUUGGGGUCCAAAUUGGGUCAGAUUUGGGAUUUUUG